rnacentral:snoRNA from 1 species
GAGCAGGAUCUAGGUACAAUGUAGCUGUGAAGUGCUGCAUUGGCUUUUACCCCCUGCUCAAAAGGAAACUGUGACCUUCCGAGCCCCCUGCCUGCUGUGGUACCCAGGCAGCGGGGAUGCUGGAUCUCAUACAG